rnacentral:rRNA from 2 species
UACAUGCAGUCGAGCGGACGUUUAAGAACAUUGCUUUUAAAGUUAGCGGCGGACGGGUGAGUAACACGUGGGCAACCUGCCUGUAAGACUGGGAUAACUUCGGGAAACCGGAGCUAAUACCGGAUAAUCCUUUUCCUCUCAUGAGGAAAAGCUGAAAGACGGCAUCUCGCUGUCACUUACAGAUGGGCCCGCGGCGCAUUAGCUAGUUGGUGAGGUAACGGCUCACCAAGGCAACGAUGCGUAGCCGACCUGAGAGGGUGAUCGGCCACACUGGGACUGAGACACGGCCCAGACUCCUACGGGAGGCAGCAGUAGGGAAUCUUCCGCAAUGGACGAAAGUCUGACGGAGCAACGCCGCGUGAGUGAUGAAGGUUUUCGGAUCGUAAAGCUCUGUUGUUAGGGAAGAACAAGUACAAGAGUAACUGCUUGUACCUUGACGGUACCUAAACAGAAAGCCACGGCUAACUACGUGACAACAGCCGCGGUAAUACGUAGGUGGCAAGCGUUGUCCGGAAUUAUUGGGCGUAAAGCGCGUGGAGGGGGUCCUUUAAGUCUGAUUUGAAAGCCCACGGUUCAACCGUGGACCCCCAUUGGAAACUGUAAGACUUGAGUGCAGAAAAAAAAAGUGAAAACCCCCUGUAGCUUUGAAAUGCCCAUUAAUGGGGAGGAACACCAG